rnacentral:antisense_RNA from 1 species
CUUCAGGCUCCCAAGCCACAGGGGCUGGUCGUCGGGUCGGUUCUGGCCGUAGGUGGCGAGGAGGGCCUGGGCUUC